rnacentral:rRNA from 1 species
GAGAAAGGUUCCAUGUGAACAGCAAUUGGACAUGGGUUAGUCGAUCCUAAGAGAUAGGGAAACUCCGUAUCAAAGUGCGCGAUUCAUCGCGCCGCCUAUCGAAAGGGAAUCAGGUUAAUAUUCCUGAACCAGGACGUGGAUAUUGUAUGGUAACAUAAGUGAACUCGGAGACGUCGGCAGUGAGCCCGGGAAGAGUUAUCUUUCUUUUUAACAG